CGGUUUCCUGCUUCGACAGUGCUUGAACGGGAACCC
rfam:Equus caballus chromosome 14, whole genome shotgun sequence.